rnacentral:rRNA from 1 species
GACAGAGGCCACGAACGUUGUUCGGAAUCACUGGGCAUAAAGCGUGCGCAGGCGGUUGUGCAAGACAGAUGUGAAAUCCCCGGGCUCAACCUGGGAACUGCAUUUGUGACUGCACGGCUGGAGUGCGGCAGAGGGGGAUGGAAUUCCGCGUGUAGCAGUGAAAUGCGUAGAUAUGCGGAGGAACACCGAUGGCGAAGGCAAUCCCCUGGGCCUGCACUGACGCUCAUGCACGAAAGCGUGGGAGCAAACAGG